rnacentral:lncRNA from 1 species
UCAGCUAUCUGUGUAUGAAAAAUAUUGUGGCGUGUUGUGCUUGAAAUUGAAAUAAGAGACAAAGUAGACUUCUAGUUUAAGAUGUCGUUUUUAUGUAUUAUGUUGAAUUACUUAAUUUUUUUUGAAAAAAAAAAAAAAAAAAAUUAUUUGUUCAAUUAUUUUUGAAAAAUAAAAAAAAGUAUUACCUUUUAGUCAAUUAUUCUUCCAUACUCAAGAACAUAAAAAGUGUCCUAAUUUGAUAUUGAUAUGAAUUUUCAGUCAGUAGAGAGUCAGAAACCUGUCGCAAAUGAAUGAAGAAUUCACACAGCGUCUAGCAGCCUUGGAGAGAAAGUUUCAACAAGCAAUUCGGGAAAAAGAAACUCUCAGAAAAAACAUUGGAGAAUUCAAAGGCCGCAGUAGUGGCGCAGGAAUUAGAGGAGGACAAAAGCUAAAUCAUUGCAGAGUUGAGAGAAGAAGGUGAGAAACUUAGUAAACAUCAACUUGCACUGACAAUUCAAUAAAGAAACUGAAGAAUGCUGACAAAAGACAAUCAAAAGAAAUAUCAUCACUCAGGGAACCAGUUGGAAGAAACGAACCAAGAGCUGGAGGCCACAAAAAAAGCUCUAACUGCCAAGGAGGAUGUCGAAAGGAAACAGAUUGAAGCUGUAGAUCAACUGACCAAAACAAAUCAAAAACUGGAAAAGGAAGUCUCAAGUUUGAAGUCACAAGUUGACAACCUAACUUCAACGCUAGUCACAUCUCAAAAAGAAUUACGAGAAAGCGUGCAGCUGUUGCCACUUUAG